AACGAACGCUGGCGGCAUGCCUAACACAUGCGAGUCGAACGAGACCUUCGGGUCUAGUGGCGCACGGGUGCGUAACACGUGGGAAUCUGCCCUUUGCUUCGGAAUAACAGUUAGAAAUGACUGCUAAUACCGGAUGAUGUCGAAAGACCAAAGAUUUAUCGGCAAAGGAUGAGCCCGCGUAGGAUUAGGUAGUUGGUGGGGUAAAGGCCUACCAAGCCGACGAUCCUUAGCUGGUCUGAGAGGAUGAUCAGCCACACUGGGACUGAGACACGGCCCAGACUCCUACGGGAGGCAGCAGUGGGGAAUAUUGGACAAUGGGCGAAAGCCUGAUCCAGCAAUGCCGCGUGAGUGAUGAAGGCCUUAGGGUUGUAAAGCUCUUUUACCAGGGAUGAUAAUGACAGUACCUGGAGAAUAAGCUCCGGCUAACUCCGUG
rnacentral:rRNA from 1 species